rnacentral:rRNA from 1 species
AGAGGGGGAUAGCCCGGCGAAAGUCGGAUUAAUACCCCAUAAAACAGGGGUCCCGCAUGGGAAUAUUUGUUAAAGAUUCAUCGCUGAUAGAUAGGCAUGCGUUCCAUUAGGCAGUUGGCGGGGUAACGGCCCACCAAACCGACGAUGGAUAGGGGUUCUGAGAGGAAGGUCCCCCACAUUGGUACUGAGACACGGACCAAACUCCUACGGGAGGCAGCAGUGAGGAAUAUUGGUCAAUGGCCGAGAGGCUGAACCAGCCAAGUCGCGUGAAGGAAGAAGGAUCUAUGGUUUGUAAACUUCUUUUAUAGGGGAAUAAAGUGGAGGACGUGUCCUUUUUUGUAUGUACCCUAUGAAUAAGCAUCGGCUAACUCCGUGCCAGCAGCCGCGGUAAUACGGAGGAUGCGAGCGUUAUCCGGAUUUAUUGGGUUUAAAGGGUGCGUAGGUGGUGAUUUAAGUCAGCGGUGAAAGUUUGUGGCUCAACCAUAAAAUUGCCGUUGAAACUGGGUUACUUGAGUGUGUUUGAGGUAGGCGGAAUGCGUGGUGUAGCGGUGAAAUGCAUAGAUAUCACGCAGAACUCCGAUUGCGAAGGCAGCUUACUAAACCAUAACUGACACUGAAGCACGAAAGCGUGGGGAUCAAACAGGAUUAGAUACCCUGGUAGUCCACGCAGUAAACGA